ACUGGGGCGGCAGGCUACACAUGCAAGUCGAGCGGUAGCACAGGAGUAGCUUGCUCUCUGGGUGACGUAGCGGCGGACGGGUGAGUAAUGUCUGGGAAACUGCCUGAUGGAGGGGGAUAACUACUGGAAACGGUAGCUAAUACCGCAUAACCUCGCAAGAGCAAAGAGGGGGACCUUCGGGCCUCUCGCCAUCAGAUGUGCCCAGAUGGGAUUAGCUAGUAGGUGAGGUAAUGGCUCACCUAGGCGACGAUCCCUAGCUGGUCUGAGAGGAUGACCAGCCACACUGGAACUGAGACACGGUCCAGACUCCUACGGGAGGCAGCAGUGGGGAAUAUUGCACAAUGGGCGCAAGCCUGAUGCAGCCAUGCCGCGUGUGUGAAGAAGGCCUUCGGGUUGUAAAGCACUUUCAGCGGGGAGGAAGGCGAUAAGGUUAAUAACCUUGUCGAUUGACGUUACCCGCAGAAGAAGCACCGGCUAACUCCGUGCCAGCAGCCGCGGUAAUACGGAGGGUGCAAGCGUUAAUCGGAAUGACUGGGCGUAAAGCGCACGCAGGCGGUCUGUUAAGUUGGAUGUGAAUCCCCGGGCUUAACCUGGGAACUGCAUUCAAACUGACAGGCUAGAGUCUGUAGAGGGGGGUAGAAUUCCAGUGUAGCGUGAAUGCGUAGAGAUCUGGAGGAAUACCGGUGGCGAA
rnacentral:rRNA from 1 species